rnacentral:lncRNA from 1 species
GGUUAUGCGCUGCUUCUGAUGGUAGUAAUGAUAGCAUCUACUGAGGGAUGCUAGAAAAUUUUUGAAUUAACUGAAGGAUUCCAGGAAGGCACACCUACUGAUGGGUGAUGGGAGGUAUUGCACUUACUGACAAGUGCCAAACAGGUUUGGGUCAGGCUCGUGACGUUAAACAAGCGCUACUAGGAGGCAACCUAGAAUUUCUUCUUACACUUUUUGCAUUUUAAAUUCUUAGAAUAGGUUGAACUUAAAUUUUGGUGUGUACUCUU